CCUUUUGCUGCCCCCUCUUCAUGCAUUCUCUCUCUCCUCCACAGGCCCCACUACUCUGUCCUGGGGCAGGUCCCAGACACGGAUAUUUACAGAGAUGUGGCAGAGUACUCAGAGGCCAAGGAAGUCCCAGGGGUGAAGGUCUUCCGCUCCUCGGCCACCGUGUACUUUGCCAACGCUGAGUUCUACAGUGAUGCGCUGAAGCAGAGGGUGAGACAGAGUCCCCAGGAUGGGUGUCAGGCCCCAGCUCCCAGAGAGCUCACCAACCCUUCUCUGAUGUUUGCCUCCAGUGCGGGGUAGAUGUCGACUUCCUUAUCUCCCAGAAGAAGAAACUGCUCAAGAAGCGGGAGCAGCUGAAGCUGAAGCAACUGCAGAAAGAGGAGAAGCUUCAGAAACAGGCUGCCUCCUCCAAGGGCGCCUCAGUUUCCAUUAAUGUCAACACCAGCCUUGAAGACAUGAGGAGCAACAACGUUGAGGACUGCAAGACGAUGGUGAGACUGGAGGUGGGAAAGGAGGUGACAGCUGUGAGCUGCAGAGAUGCAGGAUCCACACGUCUCAUGAGGAAUGCCAUGGACCCAGCAGCUGUGGGCUCGAGGGUGUUGCGCUGAUGGCAGGAGGAGUGGAGGCUGGAUCAGAUAUUCUUCAGAGAGAGUCGUGAUAUGCCACAGAAUCUAGGCUUAGAUUCUCAGGCCUAGAUGAAGACCUUGAAUUUGUAGAUGCCACAAGACUCCCCCCAGAGUCUGCUCAUGGAUAGAGGAAAGGGAUUGGGUAUAUGAGAGAAAAUCAAGGGGUCAAAGGCAGGCGUGGUGGUAUGCGCCUGUAGUCCCAGCUCUUCGGGAGGCUAAGGCGGGAAAAUCAUUUGAGCCCAGGAGCUCGGGGCUGCAGUGCGCUCUAAUGGUGCCUGUG
rnacentral:sRNA from 1 species